AAACACAUUUCUGUGUGUGCAGUUUCAGAAAGCAGAACAGCCUGUCCUGACACUAAAUAAACACGGUUCCCAGGUGGAAAUUCUCAAUUUAGAUGUCUGAUUAACUUCUAACUCAAUGGCUGUAGUUUAAGAUCCUGGCAGUGUUUGAAUCACUGGUAUUAGAUACCAUUCCUCUUUCUGCUCUGGAAGUAGAAGCUGUGAACUUCUCUUUCACACUGUUAGGAUGCAAACCACCAUCUUCUCACUGGAGUUGUACCUUGAAAUGGCUACAAAACCUGCCCAGCUCCAGUGGAAGCUGUUUGUUCUCCCUGGCAGUGCUCAGAGUUUCUGAUGGGCAGGAAAUCAGUGUCAGUGCUGGACAGAAACACUGCAGGUCAGGGACUCACAGCUCCAGCAGCCAGAGAACAUCAGCCAGAGAAGACAUUAAACCAGCAGCUCACCUGAGAGGAUGAAGAACACAGGGGAGCUUCCCUUUUAUACAGAUAUUCUCAGCAUUGGGGAAAUACCUCUACCGUCAUUUUGAAAUUAGAGGGAAAUAACUGAAAGCCCAAUACAGCAAUGCAUGAUUCUGCUAAAAAGCAACAAAUACCAAAUGAUCUGUGGUAAUUUGAGAGCUGACAAGCUGCAAUUCAUCACCCUGGUAUGUAAAAGAGACUUUGAAAAUGAUAGAUGGAAUUUUCUUAAGGAACUUUCAGGAGACGAUUUCAAACCUACAAACAAAUUCAAAUUCUUUCCCCCUACCAGUCAUCCAAACAGAGGGUCCAGUUCUCUGUCUCCAAACCAUUUAUCCCACUGGAAAGCAAACCAAGAGGCAAGACACAUGCUGAGGUUGUUGAUACCCUUAUGCUCAGGAUGCAGGUGCAGGACAGUUCAGAGGCUGCUCAUGUCCCCAGUGCUGCUGUGGCUGUCUAUUUUAGGGUGACUGAAUCAUGAAAUGAUCACAUUCUGCUAAAGAAGUGAAUCCUGCCCACUCCAUUUUCUUGAGUGUCUUCUCUUGGGUCUUGUUCAUCACAAAUUGAAAGUUGCGUGUUCCUGCCUACGUGUGCAGCUGAGUGGAUAUAAAUGUAGGUAUGGAUGGAUAUUCCAUUCUGGAAUAUUUAGCUAGGUUUUGAAGAAUAUCUGGGUAUAACUGACUAAAAAUGGUGCUGGUCUUAUUAAGAAGUUAAGGGAAAAAUGUUCUGCUAAGUCUGUGAGAAUAUGGAGUGUUUGAGAGUAGUGUAUAUGUCUCAGGACAUUCAUUCCCUGUAGCAAUACAUCCUGUUAACUCUGCAGCUGAAAACACUGACAGCUUGUUGGUGAGGAGGUAUGAAGUUUAUUAUGGGUUUGUUGACCUUGUUGUUUUUAACAAAAAUGUCUUCCUAAGUCAAAUAUAAAGAUUCCUGUUUGAAUUGUAGGGAGAGCUACCUUUCCUACGGAUCAAUAACCACUUAUUUUCUACUUAAUAUUUAGUAUUCAGCUUCACUGAUCUUUCCCAUAAAUGGCAAAAAUGUACCUUCUCCAGCUGUAUGUUAAUUAUGUUUCAUUUUAAGUCAGAAUGGGUACAUUACAGAGAAACUCUCAAUUUGAGACUGAGCAAACUAAAUAUAAUCAGCUGAGUGAAUCCAGCACUGUGAACAUGAACCACUGGUAUAAAUAGGAAAGGAGACACCUUGAAGCUUUACCAUACUCAAGAAGUGUCAGAUCAUGUUCAUUUGAAAGGGAUGGCAACACUCUUUUUCCCCUAGUGCAGGCAUGAAUAUUGUUUCAUGGAACACAGGCUAUCCAGGUGUUCAACAGACUCUGGUGUUUGCACCUUUAUUGUUGAAUUUCAGCAUUUCUUGAAUGGCCAUUUGACUUGUUUUUUUAUAAUUUCACAUCUCUUCCUUCAUAAAGACUUAAAUGGGGGAAAUUAAAACAACUUUAAAAUACUUCCACCUACUUUUCUGACAGAUUCAAAACCUUAUGGACUGUUUUCAAACAGCUCUUUUAUCAACAAGCGUUGCUGUAAGGAUAAUUGGUAUGAACUAUUAGGAACUCUUAUUAUGAUGAAGAUUUGUUUCAUUGUUCAGGACAAAGCACUCCUGAUGAUACGGGACCUCCAAGACUGGUAGAAAUGUGAGAAAUUGGUUCUCUACAGUUCUUUUCUGUUGUAUCCAACUUGGCAAAGCAACAUGGGAUUCUUCUAGAUCUUCCAGAGGGAGAGUCUGAAGGAUGGGUCACUGCACAGAAUUGGCUUUAAUGACAUUGACAUGACUGAAAAACCCUGGUAUGACUGCUAGAAUAUCUGUAUUUAAUCACAACUUCUGAUAGAGAAAAUGCAUUUCUUUCUAUAUUGUGUGUUUGAAAAGAACAUAUUUCAUUAACAGUGGUCACCCUUGCCACUUGGCUUCUGAAAAAGGCAUCCCUAUGAAAAAAAAUGUCCCGAAUUUUAAAGAUAAUAUUUAUAUUUUUGCUGAGGGAGUAAUGGGGAGGAAUAUCACUUGAGCUUGAGAAUGUCAGUAUAAGUGAUAUGCGUUGUGUAAGUCCCACCUAAGCUUUCCUUGUCUGAAAUGUUAAAUAAAGACUUUAAUGAGUUCCUCUGCAUAAGGAUAAAUUUAGCUCCAAGAGCAGUGCAAAGCAGACUUGUUGAUUGGUGUGGGAAUGAUUGCUGUGAUUCCUGAGCUAUGAAGGUGCUGUCAUUUCUGCAAAGGAUCUGUGCAGGGGAGGCAAAACAGAGAACUGACUCUGCAAAAUGAGUUGUGGGUCUGUGGGUAUGCCCAGAACUUCAUGUAGGGUCCUGUUCUAUUAUGAAUCAUAGCUUUGCUGUUUUAUUGUAAAUGAUUGGUCUUUAAUUAUAACUUCAGCUAUAAAUUUGUGAUUUUUUUGUGUGAAAAGUUCAAAGCUGGAUUAAUAAAUUAGUCCAGAAACUUCUUACUAUUUAAAUACUGCCUCAGCUAUUUUCAUAGCUUUAUUAGAACAGUUCAUUCCUCAAGUUAUGCCCUUUACUUUUGGUCAUGGAGAUGUUCUCCGGGUCAUUCGUUAAGUGGGUGUGUCAUUUCUGUGUGAUGUGAAAAUACCAAAAUGACCCUUUAAAAGUGUGUGUUUUCCAAGGAAUGCUGCACCUGCAGAUGCACAUCUGCACUUGCUGUACUAAAUCCAUGCAUUCUGUCUGUCUGUACUGAGCUGGGGAUGCUGCAAGUCUCUUAUCUCUACCUGCAGACUUUGUACCCUACAGGCUGGUGAUAAAGAGGUUCCAGAAACAUUUAAGUGGAAGUGGAGGCAUCCAGUCCCUCUCCAGCAGUGAGAAUGUGUUUUGCUGUCAACAUCUCAUGAUGACCAGCAUGAGGGGGACAAGCAUUGUUGCUCUUGCUCCACAGGCACCUAUUUAUUAUCUGUCCCAGGGAAUUCCUGCCUCUGCUGGAGUAGAGAUGUAGCUAUCAUUAUUUUUGCUUGCCUUGCAGAAGGCAGGCUUUGAUUUCAUUCUCUGUGUCUCACUGAGGUCUACAUAAAUCAUCUGAAGUUGGCCAAAAGCUUGAGAAGAAUGUUGUGAUCUACAGCUGUUAUCUAUGCCUUGCCCAUUUUUAUUGGGGAUAAAGCCUGUUUGCAUUAGAGUAACGGCAAAUACACACGUGCUGCAUAAACCUGUAUCGGUCGUUCCUAAACAACGUGCCAGAAAUCCCCCUUGAUUGUGUUAACAACUAAAUUGCCAAGUUCUUUUUGACAAAACAAUCAGCCUAGCCCCCGUUCGCGCACGCCGCUGACAGUGGUGGUGCAGAGCAGCACAUGGAACUCGGUGCAAGUAUGUUCUGUAUGUGGCUGCUAUGGUGAUUAAAAUACAUAAAUAAAAUAGAUAAAUAUGGCCCAUAUUAGAAAUGCAUUAGUGGCGCUGUCUCCGAUCGGAGGCGUGCGCUGUCAGCCGGGCUCCUCGCUCCGAGCGGGCCCGCGUGGAGCCGCAGCUCCUGAGGGGGCCGGCCUUACGCAAUGGCCCUGUCCUACCUUGUCAGCUCGCAAAUUCAACACAAAACGCCUAAACAAAGGCCUUUUGUGCACGCUUUAUAGUUCAGUGGGGAUUAGUGGCCUGACACGGUUCUCAGACGGGACAAGCUUAGCGUUAAUUCGGCCGAGGUUAAUUGGGGCGGACGCGGGGCAGGCAGUGCGGGCUGGAGCCGGGCUCGGGCUCUGCGCUUGGGGACUGAGGGUUGUCCAGAGCCGGUUC